CCUACGGGCGGCAGCAGUGAGGAAUAUUGGUCAAUGGACGAGAGUCUGAACCAGCCAAGUAGCGUGAAGGAUGACUGCCCUAUGGGUUGUAAACUUCUUUUAUAAAGGAAUAAAACGAGUCACGUGUGCCUUUUUGCAUGUACUUUAUGAAUAAGGAUCGGCUAACUCCGUGCCAGCAGCCGCGGUAAUACGGAGGAUCCGAGCGUUAUCCGGAUUUAUUGGGUUUAAAGGGAGCGUAGAUGGGUUGUUAAGCCAGCUGUGAAAGUUUGCGGCUCAACCGUAAAAUUGCAAUUGAUACUGGCAUUCUUGAGUACAGUUGAGGUAGGCGGAAUUCGUGGUGUAGCGGUGAAAUGCUUAGAUAUCACGAAGAACCCCGAUUGCGAAGGCAGCUUACUAAACUGUGACUGACAUUGAUGCUCGAAAGUGUGGGUAUCAAACAGGAUUAGAUACCCUAGUAGUC
rnacentral:rRNA from 1 species